AGUGAACGCUGGCGGUAGGCCUAACACAUGCAAGUCGAACGGCAGCACAGUAAGAGCUUGCUCUUACGGGUGGCGAGUGGCGGACGGGUGAGGAAUACAUCGGAAUCUACUUUUUCGUGGGGGAUAACGUAGGGAAACUUACGCUAAUAUCGCAUACGACCUACGGGUGAAAGCAGGGGAUCUUCGGACCUUGCGCGAUUGAAUGAGCCGAUGUCGGAUUAGCUAGUUGGCGGGGUAAAGGCCCACCAAGGCGACGAUCCGUAGCUGGUCUGAGAGGAUGGUCAGCCACACUGGAACUGAGACACGGUCCAGACUCCUACGGGAGGCAGCAGUGGGGAAUAUUGGACAAUGGGCGCAAGCCUGAUCCAGCCAGACCGCGUGGGUGAAGAAGGCCUUCGGGUUGUAAAGACCUUUUGUUGGGAAAGAAAAGCAGCAGGUUAAGACCCCGCUGUUCUGACGGUACCCAAAGAAUAAGCACCGGCUAACUUCGUG
rnacentral:rRNA from 1 species